GUCUUUAACAGAAACACAAAAGAUUAACCAAACUCUUAAGUUGCUCGUGAAUAGUUAAAAGACUAACAAAAAAGUGAAUAUAAGAACAGUAAAAUUUUCUUUACUAAAAUAAAUAAAUAAUAGAUGGUUUUACUUGGCUACUGACAAGCUUAAAAAAGAUUUGGUUUCCCAACUAAAAUACAAAAUAGCAGUUUUGGCUUAUUUUGCAGGUAAUAAUUACUCAGUUGCAUGUAAAGCAGAGAUUGUAAUUGUUGACAGUCAUGGGAGCAUUUCGGAAAAUUUCUAGGCGGCAUAUAUUGAUCGGCCGGAUGGCGUUAUUAACUACGUGUUUGUAUAUAAUAAAGAUUGCUCAUCCAUAUAUUUUACCAAGUACACAAGCAAUAACCGCUAGUGGUGCAACUCGAACCUUGGCAGGAAAUGUAAAUCCAAAUAAUCGACUACCGCGUACAAGUGCCAGUCAACUUAAUAAUGGAAAUAGUCCAAUCACAAAUUUCAAAAUUGCUGCAAAAUCUCUUAAUACAACAAGAAACGGAAAUUUACGCAUCAGAAUUAAUUUUUUUAUUAAAGGUUACCCUAAUCAAAGACCCCAGGCAGAAGUGAAAGGAAGAGAGAAAAAAGAGAGCACACAAAUCAAUUGGCCGAGUUAAUAAAACACAAAAUUAAAAUUUGUGAACAAAACAUUACCUCUUGUUUUGAAAUAGUUUUUUCUGGAAUUAAACGAAAAUAUUAUUUAUAACGCAUUAAUUAAAUUCGCACAAUUUAUAACAACACUAUUCUUACUUCAAAAUUUCAACGGCAACAAUAUUAAUAAUUAUUCAGAACAAAUGUGAUUGUCUCCAAGAAAAUCAAAACGCCGAGAAAUGCAAAAGAAAGAAUACCGUUUAUUCGCUUACUGCUUGUGAUUACAGUCGCGGUGGAAGGUAUAGUGCAAGGA